rnacentral:RNase_P_RNA from 1 species
AGAGAAUGUCAGGUAAUCGCUGUAGCUAGAAGUUAUGAAAUACUUAAAGUAUCUGGUUUCAAGAAUUUAUAUUCUUGUGGGUUGAUCAGAAGGCUAAAGUUCGUAGUAAUUUUUAGUUAUGGAGGAAAGUCGGGACACCGUAGAGCAAGCUAACUGAUAACGACAGCCAGGAGUGAUCUUGAGAUAGUGCCGCAGAAAAUAACCGCUUUGAUAAUAUAAAAAUAUUAGAGCAAGGGUGAAACGGUGAGGUAAGAGCUCACCAGUAUAGUUGGUAACAAUUAUAACUAGGUAAACCUUAGCUGGUGCAAGACUAAACAGAAAGAAGAAAAGCAAUUUUCGACAACUGCUCGUUGGUCUUUGGGUAAGUCGCUUAGAUGAAUGAUUACCACACAAUUUUUUGUGAAACAGAAUCCCGCUUAUAGAAUUCUCUACUU